UUUCCUUUUAAAAAGCGGAGGAAANGAACCCACCAAGGGAUUGCCUCAGUACGGCGAGUGAAGCGGCACAGCUCAAUUUGAAAUCUGGCCUCUUGGGUCCGAGUUGUAAUUUGUAGAGGUGUUUCGGGUACCGCCCCGGUCUAAAUUUCUUGGAACAGAAUGUCAGAGAGGUGAGAAUCCCGUCUUGGACCGGUGGUAGGGCCUAUGUGAAACUCCUUCGACGAGUCGAGUUGUUUGGGAAUGCAGCUCAAAAUGGGUGGUAAAUUUCAUCUAAAGCUAAAUAUUGGCCAGAGACCGAUAGCGCACAAGUAGAGUGAUCGAAAGAUGAAAAGCACUUUGAAAAGAGAGUUAAACAGUAUGUGAAAUUGUUGAAAGGGAAGCGCUGGCAAUCAGACUUGCGCGCGGCGGUUCCCCCUGCCUUUUGGCUGGGUUAUUCCGCCGUGUCCAGGCCAACAUCGGUUCUGGGGGCCGGUUAAAGGCCUUGGGAAUGUACCUACCCUUCGGGCGUAGACUUAUAGCCCAAGGUGUCAUGCGGCCUCCCGGGACCGAGGAACGCGCUUCGGCUCGGAUGUUGGCGUAAUGGUUGUCAGCG
rnacentral:rRNA from 1 species